rnacentral:rRNA from 1 species
GAUGAACGCUGGCGGCGCGCCUAACACAUGCAAGUCGAACGAUUAAAGCACCUUCGGGUGUGUAUAAAGUGGCGAACGGCUGAGUAACACGUGGGCAACCUGCCCCUCUCAUUGGGAUAGCCACGGGAAACCGUGGAUAAUACCGAAUACUUCGAGUCUCCCGCAUGGAAGACUCGAGAAAGCUCCGGCGGAGAGGGAUGGGCCCGCGGCCUGUUAGUUUGUUGGUGGGGUAACGGCCUACCAAGGCAAUGAUGGGUAGCUGGGUUGAGAGACCGACCAGCCAGAUUGGGACUGAGACACGGCCCAGACUCCUACGGGAGGCAGCAGUGGGGAAUCUUGCACAAUGGGCGAAAGCCUGAUGCAGCGACGCCGCGUGCGGGAUGAAGGCCUUCGGGUUGUAAACCGCUUUCAGCAGGGACGAGGCGAAAGUGACGGUACCUGCAGAAGAAGCCCCGGCUAACUACGUGCCAGCAGCCGCGGUAAUACGUAGGGGGCAGGCGUUAUCCGGAUUCAUUGGGCGUAAAGCGCUCGUAGGCGGUCUGUUAGGUCGGGAGUUAAAUCCGGGGGCUCAACCCCCGUUCGCUCCCGAUACCGGCAGACUUGAGUUUGGUAGGGGAAGGUGGAAUUCCUAGUGUAGCGGUGGAAUGCGCAGAUAUUAGGAAGAACACCAGUGGCGAAGGCGGCCUUCUGGGCCAUAACUGACGCUGAGGAGCGAAAGCUAGGGGAGCAAACAGG